rnacentral:rRNA from 1 species
GUGCCAGCCGCCGCGGUAAUACCGGCAGCUCAAGUGAUGGCCGCUCUUAUUGGGCCUAAAGCGUCCGUAGCUGGCCGCGUAAGUCCGUCGGGAAAUCCAUCAGCCCAACUGAUGGGCGUCCGGCGGAAACUGCACGGCUUGGGACCGGAAGACUCGAGAGGUACGUCCGGGGUAGGAGUGAAAUCCCAUAAUCCCGCACGGACCACCGAUGGCGAAAGCACUUCGAGAAAACGGAUCCGACAGUGAGGGACGAAAGCCAAGGUCUCCAACCGGAUUAGAAACCCGGGUAGUCC